AAUGAACGCUGGCGGUAUGCCUAACACAUGCAAGUCGAACGGCAGCACAGUAAGAGCUUGCUCUUACGGGUGGCGAGUGGCGGACGGGUGAGGAGUACAUCGGAAUCUACUUUUUCGUGGGUGAUAACGGAGGAACACUUACGCUAAUACCUCAUACAACGUACGGGUGAAAGCAAUGGAGCUUGGGACCUUUCGCGAUUGUAUGAGCCGGUGUCGGAUUAGCUAGUUGGCGUGGUAAAGUCACACCAAGGCGACGAUCCGUAGCUGGUCUGGGAGGAUGAUCAGCCACACUGGAACUGAGACACGGUCCAGACUCCUACGGGAGGCAGCAGUGGGGAAUAUUGGACAAUGGGCGCAAGCCUGAUCCAGCCAUACCGCGUGGGUGAAGAAGGCCUUCGGGUUGUAAAGCCCUUUUGUUGGGAAAGAAAAGCAGCAGGUUAAUACCCCGAUGUUCUGACGGUACCCAAAGAAUAAGCCCCGGCUAACUUCGUG
rnacentral:rRNA from 1 species